AUUUGGUGUAAAUACAAAUAACAUAUAUGUAGAUGAUAUAUUAAUUAAUAUGGAUUCUGAAAGGUUAAGUUUUACUAACAGAAAUAGUGACGGUAAUAGUGACGGUAAUAGUGACGGUAAUAGUGGCGGUAAUAGUAGCGGUAAUAGUGGUGGUAAUAGUGGCUGUAAUGAUAUUGAAAAUAGUGACAACCCAAACGAAAGUAGCGGUGAGCAACAUAAUCCUACUAUAGAACAUAUUAAUAACAUAAAUGUCACAAAUAUAACAAAAGUUCCUCUUAAUAAAAAUAGUAGUUGUGAAAUGUUAGAUGAAAAUGAGGAUGUGUCCUAUUAUAACAACGAAAUUAACACAUCACAUGAACUAUGUAUUAAUGGUAGAAGAUAUGACAAUUCAGAUAUUUAUGAAAUAAAUAAGAAUAAAACUUUUUAUAAUUAUUAUAAUAAUCAUCAACAUGGAGAAAAAAAAAUAGAACAACAUACAGAGAACACAGAAGAGUGUACUGAAAAUAAUGAAACACAAAAUGAAGAAAUAAAAAUAAAUUUUGAUGAAACGUAUGAACUGUCUGAUGCAGAUAAUACAUUUUGGCAAAAUAACAGAAAUGUAGAUGAAUCUAUAAUGGGUACAAUUUUAAUGAUUGAAAAAAUAAAAAAAAUAAAAAUAAAAAUGUUGAUAGUUCCAAAUAAAUAUGUAUUAUUACAAAUGAAUACAGAAAAUGGUAAUAAUAAUGGUAGUGGUAGUAGUGGUAGUAAUACGAGUAGUAGUACUACUAGUAGUAUUAUUAGUGGACAUAAUUAUGAAGAGUUAAGAAAACUUCUAUUAAAUGAAAAAAUAUUAUUAUGUUAUAAACUAUUUAAUUAUUAUAAUAAUCAAUCUGCUUAUGUAUAUCACCAUGAAAAUCAACUGUCAGUAUAUAAUAAUCUAAAUAAAAAUCAAAAUGUAAAUGGAAGCCAAAAUGUAAAUGAAAAACAAAAUGUAAAUGAAAAACAAAAUGUAAAUAAAAACAACGAAAAUGUAAAUAAAAACAACGAAAAUGUAAAUGAAAACAACGAAAUUGUAGCUGUAAAUAAUAACAGAAAGGAAAAUGAACUGAGUAAUGAUGAUACAGCAAUGGAUAAAAUGGGUGCGACACAAAACUGGACUAUUACAAAUGAGCAAGAUAUUUCAAUAAUGAAUAUAAAUAAUGUCAGUGUUCAAAUGAAACGAAUAAUAAAAGAACAAAAUAAAAAUGAUUUUGUUAUUAAUACUGAGGUGAGUGAUCAAACGGAUCAGCAAUUGGAUAGUCUCAUGGAUAACCAAACGGGCAGCCAAACGGACAACCAAAUGAGUAACUAAAUGAAGAAAUACAAAAAAGUGAACAAAAAAAGGUGAAUAAAAAAAAAGAAAAAUCAACCCCGAAAUAACGC
rnacentral:lncRNA from 1 species